GACGAACGCUGGCGGCGUGCUUAACACAUGCAAGUCGAACGGAAAGGCCCUGCUUUUGUGGGGUGCUCGAGUGGCGAACGGGUGAGUAACACGUGAGUAACCUGCCCUUGACUUUGGGUUAACUUCAGGAAACUGGGGCCAAUACCGGCUAGGAGCUCCUGCUGCAUGGUGGGGGUUGGAAAGUUUCGGCGGUUGGGGAUGGACUCGCGGCUUAUCAGCUUGUUGGUGGGGUAGUGGCUUACCAAGGCUUUGACGGGUAGCCGGCCUGUGAGGGUGACCGGCCACAUUGGGACUGAGAUACGGCCCAGACUCCUACGGGAGGCAGCAGUGGGGAAUAUUGCACAGUGGGCGGAAGCCUGAUGCAGCAACGCCGCAUGCGGGAUGACGGCCUUCGGGUUGUAAACCGCUUUCGCCUGUGACGAAGCGUGAGUGACGGUAAUGGGUAAAGAAGCACCGGCUAACUACGUG
rnacentral:rRNA from 1 species